GAUGAACGCUGGCGGCGUGCCUAAUACAUGCAAGUCGAGCGAACAGAUAAGGAGCUUGCUCCUUUGACGUUAGCGGCGGACGGGUGAGUAACACGUGGGUAACCUACCUAUAAGACUGGGAUAACUUCGGGAAACCGGAGCUAAUACCGGAUAACAUUUGGAACCGCAUGGUUCUAAAGUGAAAGAUGGUUUUGCUAUCACUUAUAGAUGGACCCGCGCCGUAUUAGCUAGUUGGUAAGGUAACGGCUUACCAAGGCGACGAUACGUAGCCGACCUGAGAGGGUGAUCGGCCACACUGGAACUGAGACACGGUCCAGACUCCUACGGGAGGCAGCAGUAGGGAAUCUUCCGCAAUGGGCGAAAGCCUGACGGAGCAACGCCGAAUGAGUGAUGAAGGGUUUCGGCUCGUAAAACUCUGUUAUUAGGGAAGAACAAAUGUGUAAGUAACUGUGCACGUCUUGACGGUACCUAAUCAGAAAGCCACGGCUAACUACGUG
rnacentral:rRNA from 1 species